rnacentral:rRNA from 1 species
CUGCUGCCUUCCGUAGGAGUCUGGGCCGUAUCUCAGUCCCAAUGUGGCCGUUCAUCCUCUCAGACCGGCUACUGAUCGUCGACUUGGUGGGCCGUUACCCCCGCCAACUAUCUAAUCAGACGCAAGCCCAUCUUUCAGCAAUAAAUCUUUGGUACCCCAGGGAUGCCCCCAAGGCACGUUAUGCGGUAUUAGCAGAAGUUUCCCUCUGUUGUCCCCCACUGGAAGGCAGGUUACUCACGCGUUACUCACCCGUUCGCCA